rnacentral:rRNA from 1 species
AUGAACGCUGGCGGCGUGCCUAACACAUGCAAGUCGAGCGGAAAUUGAUAGCUUGCUAUCAAUUUUAGCGGCGGACGGGUGAGUAACGCGUGGGUAACCUGCCCUAUACACAUGGAUAACAUACCGAAAGGUAUGCUAAUACAAGAUAAAACAUUGAUAAGGCAUCUUAUUAAUGUCAAAGAUUUAUCGGUAUAGGAUGGGCCCGCGUCCCAUUAGUUAGUUGGUGAGGUAACGGCUCACCAAGACCACGAUGGGUAGCCGACCUGAGAGGGUGAUCGGCCACACUGGAACUGAGACACGGUCCAGACUCCUACGGGAGGCAGCAGUGGGGAAUAUUGCACAAUGGGCGAAAGCCUGAUGCAGCAACGCCGCGUGAGCGAUGAAGGCCUUCGGGUCGUAAAGCUCUGUCCUCAAGGAAGAAUUUUGACGGUACUUGAGGAGGAAGCCCCGGCUAACUACGU